UACGAAGGGUGCAAGCGUUACUCGGAAUUACUGGGCGUAAAGCGUGCGUAGGUGGUUGUUUAAGUCUGUUGUGAAAGCCCUGGGCUCAACCUGGGAAUUGCAGUGGAUACUGGGCGACUAGAGUGUGGUAGAGGGUAGUGGAAUUCCCGGUGUAGCAGUGAAAUGCGUAGAGAUCGGGAGGAACAUCCAUGGCGAAGGCAGCUACCUGGACCAACACUGACACUGAGGCACGAAAGCGUGGGGAGCAAACAGGAUUAGAUACCCUGGUAGUCCACGCCCUAAACGAUGCGAACUGGAUGUUGGGUGCAAUUUGGCACGCAGUAUCGAAGCUAACGCGUUAAGUUCGCCGCCUGGGGAGUACGGUCGCAAGACUGAA
rnacentral:rRNA from 1 species